AACGAACGCUGGCGGCAGGCUUAACACAUGCAAGUCGAGCGCCCCGCAAGGGGAGCGGCAGACGGGUGAGUAACACGUGGGAACGUACCUUUUGCUACGGAAUAGCUCCGGGAAACUGGAAUUAAUACCGUAUGUGCCCUUCGGGGGAAAGAUUUAUCGGCAAAAGAUCGGCCCGCGUCUGAUUAGCUAGUUGGUGGGGUAAUGGCCUACCAAGGCGACGAUCAGUAGCUGGUCUGAGAGGAUGAUCAGCCACACUGGGACUGAGACACGGCCCAGACUCCUACGGGAGGCAGCAGUGGGGAAUAUUGGACAAUGGGCGCAAGCCUGAUCCAGCCAUGCCGCGUGAGUGAUGAAGGCCUUAGGGUUGUAAAGCUCUUUCGCUAGGGAAGAUAAUGACGGUACCUAGAGAAGAAGCCCCGGCUAACUUCGUGCCAGCCGCCGCAGUAAAAC
rnacentral:rRNA from 1 species